AAUGAUAAAUAGCUGUGUAUCACAUGUUGGGGGGAGUCUAGCAUGGUGCCCUAGCCAUCAGUGCGAAGCCUGGCUUUAUUUAACAUCUCUGCUAAUUAUCUGCAGGAGAAGGUAAAGACUUGUUAAUUACAUUCACAGAUUAUACAAAAUUGGGAGGUGUUGAGAAGACCAGCGACGACAGAGAAAUCAUUCAAAGAGCCCAGAAAUAUGGACAAGAAAUAAAAUGAGACUCAGUGUGCAAAACUGCGGGAAGAUUUAACCAGAGGAUAUUAAUCCAAAACAUUGGAAUUCAAUGGGCAGUAACAGCCAGGAAAGUAGAAAUGCUAAAAAAGGCCUAUGGGUGCCAGGUGUCCAGCAACGCCUCGACAGGACCCUCCACCACGGAGCAUCUCCAUACCUUUUUCACUGUGUGGCCCACAUCCGUAACAAAUCUGCGAGCCCCGCGGGGAAUUCUUCAGAAGGCAGGAGCUGAUGAUGAAUCCUUAAGCAGAUCACACCGAUAA
rnacentral:lncRNA from 1 species